rnacentral:misc_RNA from 1 species
GAGAAAGAUUUCGCACUGCAGCAAGUUACGGAGCUACGAGAUUUACUAAAACGGGAUAAAGAAGAGUAUGAAACACUAAUCCUGUCUAUUAUGCUCUCUAGCAACUCUCAGAUAAGCACUUUAGAAAAUCAGAUGGAUCUCAUGCAAGAAGAAGGCCGGCUUAGUGAGGAGGAGUUUGAAGAAGAACAGGUUCAAUCAAUGUCUGCUGACAUAGAGAUGGUCGUCUUGCAGGGGUCUUUACGUGAAAUGCAUGAAAAGAAUUCAAUUCUUUCAUUGCAGUCUCAGAAGCUUCUAGAGAAGUCAAAAUCUGCAGAUAAGUUGAUUUCUCAACUUACGAAGGAACUUCUUAUUCAAGAGAAAAACUUGGAUCAUCGUUCUUUUAAUGUCAUGAAUGAUGGAGCGGC